rnacentral:rRNA from 1 species
CCCUUAGAUGUUCUGGGCUGCACGCGCGCUACACUGAAGCUAUCAACACGUUUUCCCUCCCUGAGAAGAGCGGGUAACCUUUUGAAUCAGCUUCGUGGUAGGGAUCGGGGCUUGCAAUUGUUCCCCGUGAACCAGGAAUUCCUAGUAGACGCGAGUCAUAAGCUCGCAUCGAUUAAGUCCCUGCCCUUUGUACACACCGCCCGUCGCUACUACCGAUUGAACGUUUUAGUGAGGCAUUUGGACCGACGCAUCUCAGUUUAACCGCUGGUUUGUGUUGGAAAGACUUCCAAACUUGAGCGUUUAGAGGAAGUAAAAGUCGUAACA